rnacentral:rRNA from 2 species
GCGGUGUGCCUAAUACAUGCAAGUCGAACGCGUUGGCCCAAUUGAUUGAUGGUGCUUGCACCUGAUUGAUUUUGGUCGCCAACGAGUGGCGGACGGGUGAGUAACACGUAGGUAACCUGCCCAGAAGCGGGGGACAACAUUUGGAAACAGAUGCUAAUACCGCAUAACAGCGUUGUUCGCAUGAACAACGCUUAAAAGAUGGCUUCUCGCUAUCACUUCUGGAUGGACCUGCGGUGCAUUAGCUUGUUGGUGGGGUAACGGCCUACCAAGGCGAUGAUGCAUAGCCGAGUUGAGAGACUGAUCGGCCACAAUGGGACUGAGACACGGCCCAUACUCCUACGGGAGGCAGCAGUAGGGAAUCUUCCACAAUGGGCGCAAGCCUGAUGGAGCAACACCGCGUGAGUGAAGAAGGGUUUCGGCUCGUAAAGCUCUGUUGUUAAAGAAGAACACGUAUGAGAGUAACUGUUCAUACGUUGACGGUAUUUAACCAGAAAGUCACGGCUAACUACGUGCCAGCAGCCGCGGUAAUACGUAGGUGGCAAGCGUUAUCCGGAUUUAUUGGGCGUAAAGAGAGUGCAGGCGGUUUUCUAAGUCUGAUGUGAAAGCCUUCGGCUUAACCGGAGAAGUGCAUCGGAAACUGGAUAACUUGAGUGCAGAAGAGGGUAGUGGAACUCCAUGUGUAGCGGUGGAAUGCGUAGAUAUAUGGAAGAACACCAGUGGCGAAGGCGGCUACCUGGUCUGCAACUGACGCUGAGACUCGAAAGCAUGGGUAGCGAACAGGAUUAGAUACCCUGGUAGUCCAUGCAGUAAACGAUGAGUGCUAGGUGUUGGAGGGUUUCCGUCCUUCAGUGCCGGAGCUAACGCAUUAAGCACUCCGCCUGGGGAGUACGACCGCAAGGUUGAAACUCAAAGGAAUUGACGGGGGCCCGCACAAGCGGUGGAGCAUGUGGUUUAAUUCGAAGCUACGCGAAGAACCUUACCAGGUCUUGACAUCUUGCGCCAACCCUAGAGAUAGGGCGUUUCCUUCGGGAACGCAAUGACAGGUGGUGCAUGGUCGUCGUCAGCUCGUGUCGUGAGAUGUUGGGUUAAGUCCCGCAACGAGCGCAACCCUUGUUACUAGUUGCCAGCAUUAAGUUGGGCACUCUAGUGAGACUGCCGGUGACAAACCGGAGGAAGGUGGGGACGACGUCAGAUCAUCAUGCCCCUUAUGACCUGGGCUACACACGUGCUACAAUGGACGGUACAACGAGUCGCGAACUCGCGAGGGCAAGCAAAUCUCUUAAAACCGUUCUCAGUUCGGACUGCAGGCUGCAACUCGCCUGCACGAAGUCGGAAUCGCUAGUAAUCGCGGAUCAGCAUGCCGCGGUGAAUACGUUCCCGGGCCUUGUACACACCGCCCGUCACACCAUGAGAGUUUGUAACACCCAAAGUCGGUGGGGUAACCUUUUAGGAGCCAGCCGCCUAAGGUGGGACAGAUGAUUAGGGGAAGUCGAA